rnacentral:tRNA from 1 species
GCCCCAGUGGCGCAAUCGGCAGCGCACCCGACUUGUAAUCGGGAGGUUGGUGGGUUCGAAUCCCCCCUGGGGCU